CAUUGAUCCACAUGAGCCAGAUAAAUGGAUACCUGAAGAUCCUAAUAAGCUACGAGCGGCUAGAAACCGUAUGAGGCAGCACUUGUAAACAAGAUUACCGGUAGGGACAGAAUUAGUGGUGCUCUAAAACAUUUGUUAACUUUCCUGGCCCUGGUAUGGUUGAAUAAUUGGUUCUCAAACCACACAAUUCUCCUGUUUGUUAUUUUUGUGGUUCUCCCUUUGUUGGCGUUAACCCAAAUACUGAACUUGGGAUGAAGGUUAUCUAUGAUCCAUUCCUUUUUUGACUUGUAAUAUAAGAUGAAUGCCAACUCUACAAUGAACUAAUGUAAUUCAACUAAUUGGCUGGUGGAAUCAUCUUAUAUAUUGUACAUAUGAAGAGGUGGGGUGUUCUUCGAUUGGAUUGGUAUUCGGUCCUCUUCUUUUGGACACCCUGAAAUUAUUUUAUGCCCCUUGGAUCUGUUUUAUAUUUCCUUGGCUUAUGUGUGCUUUUUGUAGGUUUUAUUGUCUUGGCUAUGUGAGUUUUUGGUAAAAUUGGAGAGCUUCGUUAUGUCUUGCGUCUUCAGCUUAUCCCAGAAGGCUCGAGUUCUUCAUGGCUUUCCUAAUUUAUCAGAGCUUCUUCUGUCUUGUGCUUUGUAACUGAGCGAGUAAGACAAAUCAGCUGAGGGAGCAUGGCCAUCAUUGACUGUCCACACCGCAAGUACAAUAGCAAAGUGAAUUGAUAUGAAUGGAAGUUCUUGAUGCUCGGUUGUCAUGGUGGACCUGGCAAUUUUAUUACAACCACGCGAAAUUAUUUGAAUCAAUAGAAGAAAACAGGUCAUGUCACCCAACCGUUGAAAUCAAUCUGGACAACAUUGUUUGGGGAAAAUGAUUCAGGACAGUUAGAAGCCCUCUCUGGAUGUUGCCACAUACAAUUUCAAGGAGAACCUCGUAAGGUACAAUACUGGUGGACUGGAAAAUACGCCGGUGAGGAAGGCGUAUCACAACCGCACCAAUUGGGCAAGUGUGUUCAAGGAGAAAAGAUUAUCAACUUUAUCCACUGACAUUUUAUCAAUGCUCAUGGUUGAUGUCUGAUGACACCUACCCUGCUGAUACUAAUCAUCUUAUCAUUCCUUACUCGAAGGCAAUUUUGCUGGAGCCUUCUUUAGCAAUUGCUCAAGGUACCGACUAGUAUUUGAACCGGAAUGAAGUUAGAAGGGUCGGGUACCAGUUAGGCAAAUAUGGUAUAUACUGGUGCGGUAUGUGAUUCAAAACUUUGAAUUUCAAGCUUCAGAGCACUGAGAGGCAGCCUGCUGCGACCUAUCACGAUCAAAUCUUGGAGUAGAAUAGCGUUUGUUGAUUCCACUAUGUUCUUUUAUUGUCAUCGUAUUGUAUACUUUCCACGUAGUUUAUGUGGUAGGUACGGAGCAAAAUAGGGACGGACGGAGGAGUAUUUGAAGAAUUUUAUUUAUUUGGAAAAAUCAUUUUUGUUGUAAUUUUGAGGGGGUUUUUUUUAUAGGC